GUAGCGGUCAUGAUUGAAUUCGAAUAUCCAUAAAAAAAUCAUGUUUAAUUAAUAUAAAUCAUUUUUAUAUUCAAAUAAGGGUAGUUCGGCCAAUUAAACCACACCCAAAAUCUGAAACAUAUCUCACUUCCGAAAAUAAAGCAAACCCCUUUCUUCCAUUAUUCCAUAGAUUUUUACAGUUUUCGAAAAAGACAAUCCAUUGCAGACAAACGAUUUAGAGAGCAAAAGAAUUUUGAAGAAGGUCGCCGGCGAUUUUCCAUCUCAUCCAUGGUCCUAGCAGCACCUAGAAGGGUUUGUGGGAAUUAAGGUUUGUAGCUGUAAUUCUCUGAAUUUUGCGAGAAAACUCAGCAAGGACAUUUAUUGUUGGAUUGCAUACUAUGGAAUAUUCUUCAAGAUGAUUAAGCAUUACAACUCAAGAGAUAAUGCGAUAAGUAGUUUGAAGGAUCGAGCAGCUUGCAAGUUAUGCUACGGUGCUACCUACACUUUUUUCAUGUUCUUUUCCAGUUGAGUGUUUGUAUAUUGUUAAUUGAAAAG